UCCGUAGGCGGGCUAAUAAGCCAGAGGUGAAAUCCCACAGCUUAACUGUGGCACUGCCUUUGAUACUGUUAGUCUUGAGUCAUAAUGAGGUAGAUGGAAUGUGUAGUGUAGCGGUGAAAUGCAUAGAUAUUACACAGAACACCGAUUGCGAAGGCAGUCUACUAAUUAUGUACUGACGCUGAGGGACGAAAGCGUGGGUAGCGAACAGGAUUAGAUACCCUGGUAGUCC
rnacentral:rRNA from 1 species